AUACGGAGGGGGCUAGCGUUGUUCGGAAUUACUGGGCGUAAAGCGCGCGUAGGCGGCUGGUCGCGUCAGAUGUGAAAGCCCCGGGCUCAACCUGGGAUGUGCAUUUGAUACGGAUCGGCUUGAAUUCGGGAGAGGGUAGUGGAAUUCCCAGUGUAGAGGUGAAAUUCGUAGAUAUUGGGAAGAACACCGGUGGCGAAGGCGGCUGCCUGGCCCGAGAUUGACGCUGAGGCGCGAGAGCGUGGGGAGCAAACAGGAUUAGAUACCCUGGUAGUCCACGCCGUAAACGAUGUGUGCCAGCCGUUGGGGGGCUUAGCCUCUCAGUGGCGCAGUUAACGCGUUAAGCACACCGCCUGGGGAGUACGGCCGCAAGGUUAAA
rnacentral:rRNA from 1 species